UGAAGAACUUGCAUUUGAAGAUGUGUCAAAUUGUCCUGUGGGGGAGCUUUUAGCCACAUCACAAUGCCUAAAAACUGCGAGUGAAGUGAAUGCGGCCAUUCUCACAAGCCAGAGUCAUGAGAAAGAUGAUAUGGAGCUAUUAAUAAGGGAAACAUCAAGCAGGAGCUGAUUAAGGUUGUUGUGGAUCAGAUACAAGGUGUGGAUUUGGAUUUUGAUAUGGAGUUAUCAAUAAGGAAAACAGCAGGCAAGAGAUGAUUAAGGUUGUUGUGGAUCGGAUACAAGGUGUGGAUUUGGAUUUUGAUAUGGAGCUAUCAAUAAGGAAAACAGCAGGCAGGAGCUAAUACCAUGUUUUAAGGGGCCCUUUAAAUGUUUUUUUUUUAAUUCCAAAUAGAAACUAAAAUUUCAAUUUGAAAAGUGGGUGUGAUUCUCAUGUUUUUCUCCACCCAUAUAAUUGACAACAAAAAUGGCCACUGAUCAAAUGGCUGGAUUCAUCUAAUCAAAGUAGUUCCCAAUAACUUUUAUGUU